GUCCGAGAUGGCACGCGGGGAGAUUCCCGUGCUGAUAGCGCGGGCGCCCGAGUUCUACGGCCCGGCCCAGACGC
rnacentral:tRNA from 1 species